rnacentral:rRNA from 1 species
CCUACGGGAGGCAGCAGUGGGGAAUAUUGGACAAUGGGGGGAACCCUGAUCCAGCGACGCCGCGUGAGUGAAGAAGUAUUUCGGUACGUAAAGCUCUAUCAGCAGGGAAGAAAGAAAUGAUGGUAGCUGACUAAGCAGCCGCGGCCAACUACGUGCCAGCCGCCGCGGUAAUACGUAGGGGGCAAGCGUGAGCCGGAUUUACUGGGUGUAAAGGGAGCGUAGACGGCGAUGCAAGUCUGAAGUGAAAGGCGGGGGCCCAACCCCCGGACUGCUUUUGAAACUGUAUGGCUGGAGUGCAGGGGAGGUAAGUGGAAUUCCUGGUGGAGCGGUGAAAUGCGUAGAUAUUAGGAGGAACACCAGUGGCGAAGGCGGCUUGCUGGACUGUAACUGACGUUGAGGCUCGAAAGCGUGGGGAGCAAACAGGAUUAGAUACCCGUGUAGUC